rnacentral:misc_RNA from 1 species
GAUGAAGAACGUAGCGAAAUGCGAUAAGUAAUGUGAAUUGCAGAAUUCAGUGAAUCAUCGAAUCUUUGAACGCACAUUGCGCCCCCUGGUAUUCCGGGGGGCAUGCCUGUUCGAGCGUCAUUUCAACCCUCAAGCUCUGCUUGGUAUUGAGUCCAUGUCAGCAAUGGCAGGCUCCAAAAUCAGUGGCGGCGCCGCUGGGUCCUGAACGUAGUAAUAUCUCUCGUUACAGGUGCUCGGCGUGCUUCUGCCAAAACCCCAAUUUUUCUAUGGUUGACCUCGGAUCAGGUAGGGAUACCCGCUGAACUUAAGCAUAUCAAAAGCGGAGGA